rnacentral:rRNA from 1 species
GUAGGGAAUAUUGGGCAAUGGAGGCAACUCUGACCCAGCCAUGCCGCGUGCAGGAUGACGGCCCUCUGGGUUGUAAACUGCUUUUAUACGGGAAGAAAAAAUACUACGUGUAGUAUACUGACGGUACCGUAAGAAUAAGGAUCGGCUAACUCCGUGCCAGCAGCCGCGGUAAUACGGAGGAUCCAAGCGUUGUCCGGAUUUAUUGGGUUUAAAGGGUGCGUAGGCGGAUCUUUAAGUCAGUGGUGAAAGCCUGCAGCUUAACCGUAGAAUUGCCAUUGAAACUGAAGAUCUUGAAUGUGGUUAAAGUAGGCGGAAUGUAUCAUGUAGCGGUGAAAUGCUUAGAUAUGAUACAGAACACCGAUAGCGAAGGCAGCUUGCUGAACCAUUAUUGACGCUGAGGCACGAAAGCGUGGGGAGCGAACAGGAUUAGAAACCCUAGUAGUCC